rnacentral:RNase_P_RNA from 1 species
AUUGGGUAGCGUGCAAUCGCUUUUAAUUCAUUAGAAGAGGAAAGUCUGAGCUCGUGUAGAAAGUGAUAACGGAUAACUUCCGUCGGAGGUAACUCUAGGGAAAGUGCAGCAGAAAAAAACCACCUUAUGUAACUUAUUAAGGAAAGGGUGAAAAGGGGAGGUAAGAGCUCACCGGACAACUAAAAAAUGUCGUAAUAUGUAAACCCUAUCACGAGUAAGAUCAAAUAGAGGCUAAAAUUUUUUCUACAAUUGGCCUGGGUUGAUCGCUGGAGCUUUAUAGCAAUAUAAAGCCAAGAUAAAUGAUUGCAGAUUUUCUAUGAAAAUUACAGAACUCAGCUUAUAGCUACCCAUUAAAC